rnacentral:rRNA from 1 species
AUGCUCCGUGCGUGUACAACCGAUCCAUGUGGAAACCCGGAACACCACAGGCGAGACGCCUCCCUCGGCACCCGGCGCAUGGACCGACCCUUCGCGGUCAGGCGCUGGCGCCGUUCCUGGGUUCGGCCCGGGCUCGACCAGCGACCGCGUCGGUUGCCGUCUCUUGUCCCUUGCACUAGGAUUUCCCCUCCUCUCCCUCCCUCCACGCGGUCCAGACCAGCCAAGACCAACAAACCGCUCCAAAAGAAAAGAGAAAAGAACACCUUUCUAUUUCCCACUUUCUUUAUUUUUCCUUCUGGAACGAGGAGCCAGAAGAAACACACACCGGAGCCGCGCCGGAGCCGUCCGCCGUGCCGGCCGCGAGCCAGCGCACCGCCGGGACCCCGCCCCGCCCCGCCCCUCGGAGGGUGGAGGAGAGGAGAGGGAGGACGAGGACGACGAGGAGGCCCCAGGAGUCCCGCGGGGGAAGCUUCUAGAAGCUGCCGGAGGCGGGGCGGGGGCGAGGGCAGCGCGAUCUCGCCCGAGCCUGCCGCGCGGAGGAGGCGCCGGGCAGGGCGCCUCCCGGGUGCCGGCGCCCCCAGUGACUUGAAUGGAAGGCAGAUCUCGAGGGCGAGGGAAGCUUCUAGAAGCGGGCUGAGGAGGCGCGGUUAG